AGAAGAAGAAAACAAAGAAAGCGAAAUAGAGAGAAAGCGAAAUGUCUGGUAAAUGGACUCGUUCCGAUUCAACGCCACUCCUUCGCCCACAACACCAUCCAUCACAACGCUUCUCCCCCUCAAACGCUUAUUCCUCAUACUCCUCUAUCUCUCUCGAAAUGACCUCCGCCGUCUCCGCCACCACCACCCCCACCGCCCGCUCCGUCUUCCUCGGCGUCGACGUCGGCACCGGCAGCGCCCGCGCAGGUGUGUUUGAUGAGAAUGGGAAGCUUCUAGGUUCGUCUAGCAGUCCGAUUCAGAUUUGGAAGGACGGUGAUUGCGUUGAGCAAUCUUCGACGGAUAUCUGACAUGCAAUAAGUGCUGCUGUAAAAGCAGCAUGCUCCCUUGCAGAAGUUUCCGGGGAUGAAGUGAAGGGUCUGGGAUUCGCGGCUACUUGUUCACUAGUUGCAGUGGAUGCUGAUGGCUCUCCUGUUACGGUUUCCUGGAGUGGUGAUUCAAGAAGAAACAUAAUAGUAUGGAUGGACCAUAGAGCUGUAGAACAAGCUGAAAGGAUCAAUUCACGCAACUCACCCGUCCUGCAGUACUGUGGUGGAGCUCUUUCCCCUGAGAUGCAGCCUCCUAAGCUUUUAUGGGUGAAAGAAAAUCUGCCAGAAUCUUGGUCAAUGGUCUUCAGGUGGAUGGACUUGAGUGAUUGGUUAUCAUACAGCUUUUGCAUAUCUUUAGGGCCACAGGAGAUGAUGCACGUAGUCUCUGCACAACAGUUUGCAAAUGGACAUAUCUUGGUCAUGCACAUAUGCAGCAAAACAAUGAGAAAGAUUCUCGAGACAUGGAAGCUUGUGGAUGGGAUGAUGAUUUCUGGGAGGAGAUUGGAUUAGGUGAUCUUGUAGAAGGGUAUCAUGCUAAGAUAG